CAGGAUGUUGAGGGUAGCGCCCCAGUCCCCCAAGACCCCUAGGAGGUUGUUGUUUUGAAGAUAUUUGGUAUUUUGUAAUAUGUUUUGACUCAUUUGUGAACUUCAUUUCGAUGUUUCAUGACAUUUUGUUUGGAACGGAUGAUUGUUUAUGUUUUAGCAUGAUUUCUUUGGCAACGAUCUCGUUUAUAUGCGACAAUACCUCACAAACUUAGCUAAAUUUGCCUUCCUAAUGGGAUAUUUUGACUAAGUGUCGUAGCACAUACGACCUUAGCUGGAAUUGCAUAUAGGGA
rnacentral:lncRNA from 1 species